AACGAACGCUGGCGGCAUGCCUAACACAUGCAAGUCGAACGAGACCUUCGGGACUAGUGGCGCACGGGUGCGUAACGCGUGGGAACCUGCCCUUAGGUUCGGAAUAACUCCCCGAAAGGGGUGCUAAUACCGGAUAAUGUCUUCGGACCAAAGAUUUAUCGCCUUUGGAUGGGCCCGCGUUGGAUUAGCUAGUUGGUAGGGUAAAAGCCUACCAAGGCGACGAUCCAUAGCUGGUCUGAGAGGAUGAUCAGCCACACUGGGACUGAGACACGGCCCAGACUCCUACAGGAGGCAGGAGUGGGUAAUCCUGGACAAUGGGCGAAAGCCUGAUGCCGCUAUGCCGCGUGAGUGAUGAAGGCCUUAGGGUUGUAAAGCUCUUUUACCCGGGAUGAUAAUGACAGUACCGGGAGAAUAAGCUCCGGCUAACUCCGUG
rnacentral:rRNA from 1 species